CCCUGCAUGCAUGACCAAUUUGUAUGCCAUGCCUUUUGGCUUAUUUAUUGGUGUGAAUAAUCAUUUCCAGAGUUUGAUACUUGCUGGAACGCUUGUCCAUGAUGAAACUGCAGAGAAUGACGGGUGACUCUGCGUGCAAAAUAUACUUACAUACCAGAAACCGAGCUAUGGAACUGGCGAUCGAGAGCAUAAUGCCGGAUAUUACACACCGAGGAUGAUGCUGAGCCCACAAAUUUUCAUGGUAGCAACGAAGAUGGUUUCGAUACAUUGGUGACAAAUGACAUCGUCUCGGCGAGGCCAAGCAAGGUGGAAGAGCCACGGGUAGCUAUGACAUGAAGUGCAGCAAGCGGUUCAGAUGAUAUGGAACUGACAUAGCUCAAGGAGCAGACGAUAUCAGCAGUAGGCCAUGCGGGAGAACUGAGCGUCGCAG